AUUGAACGCUGGCGGUAGGCCUAACACAUGCAAGUCGAACGCGAAAGUCCUUCGGGAUGAGUAGAGUGGCGGACGUGUAAGCAACGCGUAGGAAUCUAUCCUGUAGUGGGGGAUAACGUUUCGAAAGGAACGCCAAUACCGCGUACGCCCGAAGGGGGAAAGCGGCGGAUCUUCGGACCUCGUGCUAUAGGAGGAGCCUGCGUCGGAGUAGCUAGUUGGUGAGGUAAAGGCUCACCAAGGCAACGAUCCGUAGCUGGUCUGAGAGGAUGAUCAGCCAGACCGGAACUGAGACACGGUCCGGACUCCUACGGGAGGCAGCAGUGGGGAAUAUUGCGCAAUGGGCGAAAGCCUGACGCAGCCAUACCGCGUGUGUGAAGAAGGCCUUCGGGUUGUAAAGCACUUUCAGUGGGGAGGAAAAGCUGGUGGCUAAUAUCCAUCGGCCGUGACGCUACCCACAGAAGAAGCACCGGCUAAUUCCGUGCCAGCCGCCGCGGUAACAC
rnacentral:rRNA from 1 species